UACGCGUCACCCUUGCUCUACAGCCAAACAUGCAGGACUCUAGUAACCCGCGAAAUGAUGGGAUAGCGUUGCAAAUCCUUAAAAGAGUCUUAACGGAGAAGGGAAAAUGUUACAUUGUCAAAGUCCCAAAGCCUUUCAGCCUGAAGCCAGGAACAAUUGUUCAAAGUUUCUUUGGAACAUCAAGGAAGGAAAUCCAGAUUUUACUUUAAGUGCAAUGGGGAGUCAUUAAGGAUUUUGUGUAGCAAAAAGACAACAAUCUUCAAGCCACAAUGGCCCUCACCAGAACCCAGCCAUGUGGUCAGCCUGAUCUCGGACUUCACAGCCAGCAGAACUGUUUGUCAAAGAUCAGAUGGUUUCCUUAAGCUGAUAAGCAACUUCAACAAAGUCUCAGGAUACAAAAUCAAUGUGCAAAAAUCAUAAGCAUUCUUAUACACCAAUAACAGACAAACAGCCAAAUCAUGAGUGAACUUCCAUUCAUAAUUGCACAAAGAGAAUCAAAUACCUAGGAAUCCAGCUUACAAGGGAUGUGAAGGACCUCUUCAAGGAGAACUACAAACCACUGCUCAAUGAAAUAAAAGGGGACACAAACAAAUGGAAGAACAUUCCAUGCUCAUGGUUAGGAAGAAUCAAUAUCGUGAAAAUGGCCAUACUGCCCAAGAUAAUUUAUAGAUUCAAUGCCAUCCCCAUCAAGCUACCAAUGACUUUCUUCACAGAAUUGGAAGAAACUACGUUAAAGUUCAUAUGGAACCAGAAAAGAGCCUGCACUGCCAAGACAACCCUAAGCAAAAAGAACAAAGCUGGAGGCAUCAUGCCACCUGACUUCAAACUAUACUACAAGGCUACAGUAACCAAAGCAGCAUGGUACUGGUACCAAAACAGAGAUAUAGACCAACGGAACAGAACAGAGGCCUCAGAAAUAACACCACGCAUCUACAGUCUAUGGUAUUUUACUAUGGAAGCCCACCCUAAGAUUUCAAUUUAGCUUCCAUGUAGUUCCCUGGUGCUUGGCAAUCUCCUGACUCACUACCUUGUCACAUGGUCUAUCCCAAGUCAGUCCUUCUCCUCUUCCCAUAUCCCCCUACUCCAAUAUUCACCCAUAUGUGGCCAAGUCUUCCUCCACCUGAGCUCCUUGCAGAGGAAUGAACAAUUGUUUGAACAUUAAUGAAUAUUAAAGUAAGUAAAGAAGAGACAAAUCUCCACUUGUUUUGAUAGUAGGGUGAUCUUUGGUGAGCUUAGGAAAAGUUUCAACCAAGUAGUCAUAGCAUGAUCCAAGUUAACAUGCAUUGAGCCAGGCGUGAUGGUUCAUGCCUGUAAUCCCAGCACUUUGGGAGGCUCAUGGGGGCAGAUCACUUGUGGUCAGGAGUUCACGACCAGCCUGGCCAACAUGGUGAAACCUCGUCUAUACUAAAAGUACAAAAAUUAGC
rnacentral:lncRNA from 1 species